rnacentral:rRNA from 1 species
CCCCUAGAUGUUCUGGGCCGCACGCGCGCUACACUGAACAGUUCAACAAGUCUUAACCUUGGCCGAUAGGUCUGGGUAAUCUUUGAACGCUGUUCGUGAUUGGGAUAGACCUUUGCAAUUAUGGGUCUUCAACGAGGAAUUCCUAGUAAACGCAAGUCAUCAGCUUGCAUUGAUUACGUCCCUGCCCUUUGUACACACCGCCCGUCGCACCUACCGAUUGAAUGGUCCGGUGAAAUCUUCGGAUCUGAGAGAUGUCUGAUUAAUUUCGGACGCCUUUUGGAAAAGUUGCUUAAACCUUACCAUUUAGAGGAAGGUGAANUCGUANCA